rnacentral:lncRNA from 1 species
GUCAGGGUUAGAGGACAGACCGUUCAGAAGACCGUUCAGAAGGCAGUGUGAUUGAAGGCAUUUUAAAAAUUAUGUCAGAUCUUUCUCUUCUGCACCGUGGCAAUGUUUCCGGAUGCUUCAUUUCUAUUAAAACGAGGGGAGCAGCCUGGAAGAUGAUGGAAGCCUGUAGGAUCCAGAAGCGUCUUUGCUGGGAAGCCAGGGGGUGUCACCAAGACCUAGGAUGGCCUUACUGCUGCUCAGAGAGGCUAAGCACUUGUCUGAGGUCACACAGAGCUGCAACCAGAUGUACCAAAGAAGGACGAGAAGAAAGUGAGAACAAGAGGAAUAAAAGAAGCAGGACAUUGAAGACCCUUUCAGACUUGAUCCCAGGGAAAGAGCCCUGGACUGGGAAUACAUGCUAGCUAUAAAACUCUAUAAAUUGAGAACAGCUUGUGAGAACAGAAAGAAAAAAAAGACUGUAAUUUUGAAGAGCUUACAAUCUCAUAAUUACAGAAGAGGAGACUGAAGUCCAGAGAAUACAAAUUCAAAACUGCACCAUGCGAUUGUGUUACGGGUUCAGGUUCACUCCAGGUCUUCUAACAUAUCAGCCAGUGCAGGAGGGAACUGCAGAUAACAAACAAAAUUGCCAUCAACAGCAUGAUGUGUUCACAGCCAAAGAAAUGAAAUGAAAUAAAAUUUCCAAAAAUAAAGAAAAUUAAUUGUAAAAAAAAAGAGAUAGUAUGAUGUAGCUUUAUAAAAAUGAUGAUUAAAGACAUUGCAAGGAAAGAAAACUAC